CCGCUGACCGGACCGGUAAUGCGUCUUUCCCUUCGGAGGCAGCGGAGACAGGUGGUGCAUGGUUGUCGUCAGCUCGUGUCGUGAGAUGUUGGGUUAAUGUCCCGCAACGAGCGCAACCCCUAUCUUUAGUAGCCAGCGGUUCGGGCGGGCACUCUAGAGAGACUGGCAGGGGAUAACCUGGAGGAAGGUGGGGAUGACGUCAAAUCAUCAUGCCCCUUAUGAGCCAGGGGCUACACACGUGCUACAAUGGCCGUAAACAAAGGGAAGCAAUCGCGCGAGGCGUGAGCAAAUCUCAAAAAUAACGUCUCAGUUCGGAUUGUAGUCUGCAACUCGACUACAUGAAGCUGGAAUCGCUAGUAAUCGCGA
rnacentral:rRNA from 1 species